AGAGAAGCCUUAUGAAUGUAACGAAUGUGGGAAAAAAUUCCACCACAGAUCAGCCUUCAAUAGCCAUCAGAGAAUUCAUAAAAGAGGGACUAUAAAUGUACUUAAUGUAGAAAAUCUCUGACGUCUCAAUUUUUAAAAAGACAUAUGGUUAUAGUGAACAUUGGGAGUCCAAUAGGUAGUCAAGGGUGCCCCCCCAAACUUUUAAUAUAUGUGGUGCUGGGAACUGAAUAUGGGCCCUUUGCAUGCUAUAGAAAUUCUGCACUGAGCUGGACUGCAGUGACUCACGAGUUGAGCACCCCUGCUCUUAAAGAGUGUGAAGUCCUAAAACAAAAUCCAUUUUAACCUGAAUUUUCAGAGCAGAAUCUGUAAAGAUUGGGCAAGAAGCAAACCGUUUAUGGGACACUAGGUAAUUUUUACAGGAGUGAAACUUCGAAAGUAUUUAAUAUUUAUUUUUUAUUUAAAUUGUAUUUACAUAUCAGGGAGCGUUGCCGAGAACUGUCAGCCGAUGAGUAUAACUCACCUUGGACACAUACGCUAAAAGCCAUAUUUCUGAUGUCAGACCAGGUGUCUAUAGACAGGAUGCAAGAAGCCGUCAGCUCUGAGCAAAGUUAUGAAAUGAAAUUAUAAAGCUAGCGCUUGGCCACGAGGAUGACUAAACCACGGCACCUCUGCUGUUCUAGAAGUCGAGCAGCCAUUCUAUGCAAUGUUUGCCAUCUCCGCCUCGAACGAUUGGUGGAAACCUGGUAUCCAGGAUUAGCAACGCCUGUUACAGUGGGUCCAUUGGUGGGAUAUGCUAUGUGAUCGGGAAGUACAUAGUUUUCUAGGUCACUGCUUGCCAGGAGAGCGGUUUUGUAAAAAAUUUUCAACUGGAAUUGAGCAAAAAAUUUUUUAAAAUACUAUUUUGAUAAA
rnacentral:lncRNA from 1 species